rnacentral:lncRNA from 1 species
ACCAAUAGCAGCCUCUGCUGUCUCAGCCAGAUGCAAAACAGAACCUGCAUCAUCAAUAUUAUGUCGCAUUCCUCCUCUAGCGUGCACCUGCUUCCAUUGAAAUAAAAAGUCCCUUGCAAGUUGAAGCAAAAUCGAAGGUCGACACUCAACGUCCUACCAUAAUUUUUCAUUUCUUCUUUUCCAAAUACACCAAAGACCCAUCACAAAAUUUUAGUCAUCAUUUUAGUCCCUCCUAUUACGGAACUAAUAUGACUGAUUUUUAUAUACUAUAGAAACUAAAAUGAAUGAUUUUAAAUACUUUAGGUGCCAAAAUUAAUAGUUUAUUAUUCACAUUUAACAUAAAAC